GCUGGGCAUGGUGGUGUGUGCCUGUAAUCCCAGCUACUCAGGAGGCUGAGGCAGGAGUAUUACUUGAACCCAGGAGGCAGAGGUUGCAGUGAGCAGAGAUUGCACCACUGCACUCUAGCCUGGGCAACAGAGUGAGACUCUGUCUCAA
ensembl:misc_RNA Metazoa_SRP Metazoan signal recognition particle RNA